rnacentral:lncRNA from 1 species
CAGCUCUUGGCGGAGGCUGAAUGUCUUAGGAAGCUUUUCUCCAGCGUUCCUUAAAGGUUGUUAACUGUCCGAUUUCUCUCAGAAAAAGACAAGACUUGUUAACCACGAAGAAGCCUGCAAGCCGAACUCGCAGGUGCUGUAGUAGGCCUCAACAAGGCAGCAGCAUGGAACUCAAUCCACCUCCCUAUGAUGGGAAGAAAUCUCAAGCAGAAGGUCAAAGCUGUAUUGUGGAGGAAGGUGGGGUUUUCCGCCUCGAUUGUUCCAUUGACAAGCAUGUUCGUCAAGCUUUCAUACGUAAGGUCUACAGCAUCAUCGCCCUCCAGCUACUCAUCACUGUGGGUGUCGUUUCAGUUUUCACGUUUGUGCACCCUGUGAAUGUUUACAUGAAAACUCAUGUCACACUGUGCUAUGUAUCCUGUGUUGUAUUCUUGAUCAGUUAUCUUGCGUUGGCCUUUUGUAGAAGCAUUCAGUAAGUAGAAGCAUUCUGCAGUAGGAUCCUCACCUUUUCAUNUUUUUCUUUGUAUAGAUGUUCAUCCCUUUCAUUAAAAAAAAAAAAUUACCAUGGGAAGGCAAAAGGAAGUAAUCUGUAAGGGC